CCGACACUCCCAGUAAAAUGAAGGCACUGGACACACUGACCGCGGUGCUGCUCCUCAGCUGUACCCUUGGCUCCAGUGCUCAGAUCACCCUGACUCAGCCUCAGACAGCAGUGACUGGUCAUCCUGGAGAGACGGUGACCAUCAAAUGCCAGACCAGUAGCUCUAUUUACAGCUCCCAAUGGAAGGUAGACAUGUUACUCUGGGUUCAUGAGAGGCCUGGAAUGCCUCGCAGGGGUCUCUUGUAUGAUGCUGUUCGUCAAAUGUCUGGGGUGCCAAGUCGCUUCAGUGGCAGUGGAGGUGGGAAUGAAUUCACGCUGACCAUCACUGGAGUCCAGCCUGAAGACGCUGGCAUUUACUUUUGUGGACAGUACCAAACUACACAAUGCACAGUGACAGAGAGCUGAACAAAAACCUCAGCUCAGUGCCCACCUGCUGUGACAGCUGUGCCAAGGCACAGUGGCAUGUGGCCUCUGGUGGAGAGCAGCAGAACAGACAGAGACAAAGACAAAGACAAAGAAAAUACUACAUUGAUGUUUUUGAUAUCCAGAACCACUUUAACACUUGAACACUUUUAAUUCAUGGCUUUUUAAAGUCAAUUUAGUUCGUUUCCCGAGACAAUUAAGGCGAGUAAACUUAGGGAUUGUUUGGGGGGUCAGGGCGCAGUUCUAAAUCCUCUGAGACUCAGUUGACAUUUCAGACAUCAGUCACCUUGCCCCACUUUCUCUUCCGUGGGCUUACAGUUCACUGACAUAUUUAAGGAAGUGAAGGAGUAAAGCAGAAAGUGGCACAUGGUACAGUAAAGCUGCAAAUAACUUGCAGGGAUUGUUUUUGGAUGGGCUCUCGUAUUUGGGUAAUGCAGUGCUUAGUCCUACUGCUUCAUGGAGCCAGCAUCCUGAUCUCUGAUGCCUGUUGUAUGAGUGCAGUUUGCUGUUCUCCCAUGUGUCCCACAUAACCAAAGGCAUGUGGAUUAAGUUGAUGGGCUCCACACACAUCCUCUGAUAAAGUACCCCUCUGCCUAGAACUUUUUCUUACCUUGUGUCCACUGCUGCAUGAAUAUCCUAUGGUGACCCUGAUUUGAAUUAUAGUAAGUAGGUUUGACAGAGAAAUGACUUGCCAGUUAGGAGAACAUAGAUGACAUUUGACAGACUAGUGAUCUUGUCAGUGACAUGUUAAGCAAUGCUGCCACCUUGUGCCCUUAGGUAAAUUGCACCUACAUUUUCCAAAACACAAAACCAAUCUAGGAUUUUUUUUAGAGUACACUGAAACAUAAGAAACCAAAAUUAAGUGUGACACACAACGGUAUCAAUUUAGAUGUAUUAAAGAUAGUGUGUGAAUUCAGAUAUGGGUUCA